UACGGGGGGAGCAAGCGUUGUUCGGAUUACUGGGCGUAAAGGGCGCGUAGGCGGCCACCGCAAGUCGACUGUGAAAUCUCCGGCUUAACCCGGAAAGGUCAGCCGAUACUGCGGGGCUAGAGUGCAGAAGGGGCAACUGGAAUUCUCGGUGUAGCGGUGAAAUGCGUAGAUAUCGGGAGGAACACCAGUAGGCGAAGGCGGCGACCUGGGCCAAUACUGACGCUGAGGUGCGAAAGCGUGGGGAGCAAACAGG
rnacentral:rRNA from 1 species